rnacentral:lncRNA from 1 species
CGAAUAUCCACAUUAUGGAUCUGGAUGAAGUUUAAAGUAGUUCCAAUUUAUCGUGGACACCCUGUAUCAACGAGCGUGUGCUACACUCAUUGUGUCAUUAAAAAAAAAAAAGCAUACAACAAAUCAUAGUCAGUUCUAAUUUUGAUGCUUGGCUGAUAGUUGAUUUUUAAAUUAAUGUUUUAAAAUAAGGGAAAAUUGACUCAAUAAUUGUGAAAAGCAAAUAACUCCAAACAAUACCAAGUACGCCCACUUGUACAUAAAUAAGUCAAUCCCAUAUAUAUGGAUUAACUGAUUAAUAUAUGAAAAAACAACAUUUAAAUGCCUUGUUUGUUGGAGAAACAACAUUAAAAUAAGAUUUUGUCCUAUAUUUGUGCAAAAGGUUGAAUUAGUUAACCUUUCUAUUUAUAAAAAUGGAAAGUUCUAUUACUCUACUUAUUCUAUAAAAGGUUUCAAUUUUUGUAAAUAAGUGCAUCAGCUUAUAAUGAGUGCAUUGGACCUAUUAGUAUUAUAAGCUAUGUUUUUUUGUCUAAAGGUACAAGCAAAGUUACAAAAUAAUAUUUGGCUGGAGCCAAUAGAGGAAGUGGGACAAACAAUCUAACUUAAAAAAUUGCUCAAAUGAACCUGCCUGGAAUUUUCAUUGGUUAAAUAGUAGAAAUAUAGUUAAGUUUAAGAUUUUUCUUAUUCAACUAACUUAUAAUUAUCUUCUCUCAUCAAAGGGUUGCAGCGUUUUGGUGGCAUUAUACUAAAGAUAAUGACCAAAAGGAACAUUUAUAAAAGAUUCGCAUAAAAGAGUGUGAAAAAUGUACACCCUCACGCUUGAGUCGUUAAAAUCAGCAACCCUUGGAUGUAUGAUAAUAUUUCUACGGGACAAUUUUUAAUUUUAUGAUGUAAUACUCGAUCCGGCUUUGAUUACACAAAUAAGUUAAAAAUUAUUUGGAUACCUACAAUAAAUUCAUAGAUGAUUUUAGCAAUUACUUAUUAGGACCACGAUACAUUAUUUUUUAAACUAGAGAUCUCAAGGUUCAUACAAGAGCCUUAUGCUACGUGCCCAUGAUUUUUUAUUAACUAAAUUUAUACAAAGUCACCUAAAGUGAAGCAACAACUGAAUAAGCAUUUAGACUAGAUAAAAGUAGAUUUUGUUCUGUGCAGUGUCCUAAGGGAGUUACGUCCUAAAAAUGAGCUCCAUCUAUCAAGUAGUUUUGAAUUAUCUGUUGUAGCAUAAUGUAGUACACAGCGUUGACGAAGAAACAAACGUGGUUUAUAAAUAUAAAGGAUAACUACCCCAGAAAACAUGAGUCUUUCUCUACGUUUUCCAUGUGUAGAGAAACAAACAAUUACUCAAUUUAUUUAUAUUUUCUUCUCAGGAAAUAAAUAAUAUUGAUAACAGCUUGAAAAAUAAAAAACAUUCCUCAGGCUCGCAUUUAAAGUGAGAAUAAUUAUUUUUUAUCUUAUAUAAGGUAUUUCUCAUUUCUUUUUUUUAUAUAAGCUUAAGUUACAUACGCUAAUUGUUAAAAAUGAGUCACCAAGUUAUAUUUUAUAAAACUAAAUAUAGUUUAGAGUAUGAGUUGCCCCAAGGGUAAUAGAAAUGCAAGGUUAUACCUUAGGCGUAUACGACUGAUGUUUGACUUCCACCACGUUUUUAAUAUUGACGUCAUAGUAGAUGAGUGGUUGCGUGUUUUUUCAAAAUCUGUUCUUAUUCCCUAGUAGUAUGUACUAGAUAUCAAAUUGAAAAUUCUAGUAAUAGUCACCUCGUAGACUAUGAUUGGUUGCUUGUUUUGUCAAAAUCUGCCAAUCUUGCCCAGCAGUCGGUACCAUACAUCGGAUUGAAAAUCCUAGCAAGCCCGAUUACAUGAUUGUCUAACCUUCCAUUUCUUUUAACCUUGGAGUUGACCUAAACACUCAUUUCUACACUCUAUUUUUAUAUAACUCUAUAUGAAUAUUAAUACUCUUUUUUUUUUAAUAUGACGCACACGCUGGAUUGGAUUGUUAUUUCUUCAAUCAAAUAUUUAUGCACUCCUAAGGAACACUCAAAAACAUACAUUUACAGAUACAAAAUUUCCUAUAUUAAUAUAUAUAUAUGUGAGAUGAACCCUAUAAAUGGUGUUCAUACAAAAAAUGAAAGCAGAUUUUUCUAUUUCUAGCUAUUUUUUGUUUUUGUUUUUUAAAAAACAAAGUUUAUUCUUUUUACACAAAAUUAUUUACUUUUUGUUAAAAAUUCCAAAAUCAAGUACAGAAAAUUAUUGUAUAGAAUCUUUAGUUUAAUUUAAAUGUAUUUUAGUCAAAGUUAAUCAAUCAGAAAAGCCCUCUAAAAGAGGAUAGAGGCUAUAAUUUGAUUGCAAGGUUGAGUAAAAAUGGGUUUUAGUAACUAUAAAGUUUGAACAAAUUUCAUUCAAUUACAAAGACUCUUGUUAUUGAUCCUCGUAUUUAAAUCUGAGGCACCGACCAUUAAAUUCAGUACCAAUUACUAUAGCUGAAAUAUAAUUGAUCACGAUAUUCACCCGGGUGCAUUGCAUUAGCUUGCCUGCACGUCAUCCUUUCUUUUAUAUACACACUGAAAUCGGAGACAUUGAUAGCAGAUAGUUGAAACCUUAUAAAAAAUAAAUUCACUAAGUGCAACGAAGCGACACUCCUCAAAACGAAGAAUAUAUUAUUGGAGUAAGAGGAGAGGUAUAUCGACUCAAUCGAUCAGAAUUACUCGAAUCAGUUUUUUACGUAGGAUUAGGGAACCACUAGAGAGUUAAUUGAAUGGAUGACAUAAUACGUAUAUCCUGUAAUUAUACUAUAAUGGUUCAUGGUCGAUACGAGAAAAAAUUGAAGUGUUUUAUUUCAUGAGAAUAUCAUUUCCUCUGGGCUCAUCCCUCAGUCCACGGAGCGACUCCGACUUCAUAAGAGACAAACUCACAACCUCAUCUAAAUAAUGAAACCUUCCAUUUACUUUCAUGAUCCUCAGAAGUGUUAAUUGUCCGAAUAACACGAUUAUGGAUACUCUCUACUGUCUCAACGGGUCUCCGAGAUGUAUGGACCGGCCUCAUCUGAUGGAGGGGAGUUGAUACAAAAAAUUACAAAUAUGAUGAUUAAUAUUACGACUAAAGUACUAUGAAUGAUCAUAAUAUCACUAAAUUACAAGCGAGUGAUAUGCUAAAAAGUGAAUUUCGUAUCGUACUCUUCUCUUGCCUUGUUUACAGCACUAUUUAAGUUUCAUUGUUUUUAUAAUUAUAUUGUGGGUUGUACUCAUAUAAUAUUUUUAACUUUGAUGUAGUGACAUGCUGUUAACAAAUUAAUAUUUAUUUAUUCCUCUUCAUUGUCAUAUAAACUGCAUUACACUUGACUGAUUAUUACGUGAAUAGAUGCUCCGUUAUAAAAAUAGUAUUCAUGUACGAGUAUACAUAUAUUAUGUUAUAUCUUAAAGUCAAUCACUUCUCUAGUUGUAUUUAUUUAAAAUGUGUAGAGUACACAUUAGUAUUGUACCGCUAUGAAAGACAAGAACUUGACCUUCAAGUAUUUUUUUAGAUGGACUGGUAUAUAUUAAACUAUUAUUUUCAUUCGUUUGUGACUUAUUGAUACUUUGUAUAAUGAUAAAGGCUGAAUAAAAAAUAUUGAUAGUUUAAAAAAACAUAAAUUGACAAAGAUUUAUGAUACAAUAAAUGUUUCUUUGAAGCAAUGAAACAGGGCUUUGAUGGACCAAUUUUAUAGAUUUACCAUUUUCAUGAAUUAUACACGUAAUAAAAUGUGCACGGAUGAAUAAAUACAGAAUAUACCAAGUCAUUGUAUCAAAUAUGGGACUAAUUAACUACUUUGUGAGGUUGGAAUGGUGGGAGAUUUGGGAUGUGGAUUCUGGAAUUGGUCAUUUAAAAGUGCGUAGAAAUGGGGCAAGUAGUGGAAUUAGAGUUUAAACAGGAGUCAUUUAUUCGUAGACAUGAGUUGAACUCGGUACAAUGAGGGCUCGAUCGCAGAAUCAAGUUGACUUGGAGUAUGAAGACUCGUACUUGAAUUAAAUUUGGAAAAUAUGAACUCCAAUACAGCAUUGGAUAUGGGAGUUUUAAUUUAAAUGUGCAUUUCCACCUUGCACACCAUUAACGACGUAAUCUAUGGCUUUGGGUUUAUAAGCACUUCUGUUUUUGUAUUUUCAACUUACAAUAUAAAGUCUGACAACAGACAUUCAGAACCUAAAAAUGAAUUUUGAGGACAAUUUACAUUUUUAAUUGAGACGCCCUGACAUAGAAUUUAGACUCCAUACAAACUAAACUAGGCUUGAAUGAUUGACAAAUGUUCAUACAGUGACUGAUUUCUUGAUUGUAAUUUGUGAUACAAUACAAGAACGGAUUCACCGAGUAUAAAUCAUUUUUCUGAAAAAUACAAAACAACGGAAUUCAAUGGUAGGAUGAAAGUGCAAUUUUAUCCAUCAUAACUAACUGUACAAUGUACAAAGCUCUGCUCUAACAAAGUACAACAUAUUUAUCUCAUAAUUUUUUAGUCUAUGUUUUGCUGUUCAUUUGUUUUAUUAUUAUAGCCUUUUGAUAAAAUCCACUGUAAACAUGUGACAAUAAUAAAAUGUUGGAAUAGUCUUGAA